ACAUCUCAACUCCUCACAGUUUGUCUGUGAUGAGCUUGGACUUUGGGGGUCUUGCUGGCCUGUGGGUCGGCUCCUCUCAAAUCAAUCAGCUUGCCGGUGUUUGGUGGCGUCACAGGUGUGAUAACUAUCUACGCUUGUGGUUUUCCACCAGGUAACCUCCAGCGAUGGGGGUUCACUGGAGCUCACAAAUGUCUCUCCUUGGUGAGGACAGCUCUUUGAAC
rnacentral:misc_RNA from 1 species